rnacentral:rRNA from 1 species
UACAGAGGGGGCAAGCGUUGUUCGGAAUUACUGGGCGUAAAGGGCGCGUAGGCGGCCUGCUAAGUCGAACGUGAAAUCCCUGGGCUCAACCCAGGAACUGCGUCCGAGACUGGUUGGCUUGAAUCCGGGAGAGGGACGUGGAAUUCCAGGUGUAGCGGUGAAAUGCGUAGAUAUCUGGAGGAACACCGGUGGCGAAGGCGACGUCCUGGACCGGUAUUGACGCUGAGGCGCGAAAGCCAGGGGAGCAAACGGG